rnacentral:misc_RNA from 1 species
CCGGUAGCCAUAGUAGUUCCUGUAGUUGCCGUAGAUGAAGACCUCCUUCCUCUUCCGCUUCUGCGAGCCGCCGCCGCUGCCUGCGCCGACCUCUCUAUGUUCGUUGCUCCCCUUCGUGUUGGCCUCUCCUUUAGGCCCCUUAGCCGCGGGCGGCGCGCCCUCCGGCUCCGUAGAGGUGGCCAUGAUGCGAGAAAGGAUGUUUCCCUCGCCGCCGCAGCCGCGCUCUCGAUGACUGGAAUAGUGGAAUGCGAGAGUUCCCCGACUGCAAAGGGUUUUCCUUUUUUUUUGGAAUUGAAACGAGCGAAGCGGCGCGAGGGUUUUCCCUUGCGGCGCCGGGUUGAGAAAGGGCC